GACAGAGGGUGCAAACGUUGUUCGGAAUUACUGGGCGUAAAGCGCGUGUAGGCGGCCCUGCAAGUCGGAUGUGAAAUCCCACGGCUCAACCCGUGGAAGUGCAUUCGAAACUGCAGGGCUAGAGUCCUGGAGAGGAAGGUGGAAUGCUUGGUGUAGAGGUGAAAUUCGUAGAUAUCAAGCGGAACACCGGUGGCGAAGGCGGCCUUCUGG
rnacentral:rRNA from 1 species